ACGAAGUGUAUUAUUCCGGAUAUUUAAUUUCCAUGAAUUAUAACAUACUGGUUCUUAUAUUUAGCUUUCAUUUAAAGCUUCCAGUAUAUAAACAUGCAGAUGUGAAAACUUCACAAGCAGAAUCUGCGGGCCUCCCCACUUCCACAAUGACACGGUUCAUCCAUUGACAUCACGUGAACCAGACCAGGGUGAGCCAGAAUAAACCGGUACACUUGUUCCUGCAGAUCACUCAAUCGACAGAACACCACAUUGUCAUCUCACCAGCAUACAUGAGAGAGUUAUGUCCUGUUUACCAGCCACGUAGGACCUUGAGAUCAUCAUCCGACCAAUGGAAACUGGUAGUGAAGAAAUCAUCAAACAAAUAUGGUGCAAGAGCCAUAAAAACACUAGGUGCACAAUUGUGGAAUAAACUGCCACUGGAACUUCGAGAGCUUGAAGCACAUGGAGCAUUCUGCAAGAACCUAAAAACACUCUUGUUCAAGCGUGAAUAUGGCCUGUGAAUGUAAAAUUCAGUGUAACAUCAAGGAUUCCAUGUGCAAGCUCUUGUAAACUGAAUUUUUAUCCAGCAUACGAAUACCUGUAUGCCAAUUGUAUCUUGUCAAGUCAAUCGACCACUUCGUCAUUUUACUACCAUGUUUUAUUUAAAUUCUUUCUAUUGUU